rnacentral:rRNA from 1 species
GGCUCAGAACGAACGCUGGCGGCGUGCCUAACACAUGCAAGUCGAGCGAGAAAAGGGGGGCAACUCCCUGAGUACAGCGGCGCACGGGUGAGUAACACGUAGGUAAUCUCCCCUCGAGCCCGGAAUAACCUACCGAAAGGUGGGCUAAUACCGGAUAUGACCACGGAAGUUUCGGCUUCUGCGGUGAAAGAUGGCCUCUAUUUAUAAGCUAUCACUCAAGGAUGAGCCUGCGUGCCAUUAGCUAGUUGGUGGGGUAAUGGCCCACCAAGGCUAUGAUGGCUAGCUGGUCUGAGAGGAUGGCCAGCCACACUGGGACUGAAACACGGCCCAGACUCCUACGGGAGGCAGCAGUGGGGGAUAUUGCGCAAUGGGCGAAAGCCUGACGCAGCGACGCCGCGUGGGUGAUGAAGGCCUUCGGGUCGUAAAGCCCUGUCGAGGGGGACGAAUCGGUUGCGACCUAACACGUCGUGAUCUUGACGGUACCCCUAAAGGAAGCACCGGCUAACUCCGUGCCAGCAGCCGCGGUAAUACGGAGGGUGCUAGCGUUGUUCGGAAUCACUGGGCGUAAAGCGCGUGUAGGCGGUCCGUUAAGUCUGAUGUGAAAGCCCGGGGCUCACCCCCGGAAGUGCAUUGGAAACUGACGAACUCGAGUCCCGGAGAGGAGGGUGGAAUUCCUGGUGUAGCGGUGAAAUGCGUAGAUAUCAGGAGGAACACCGGUGGCGAAGGCGGCCCUCUGGACGGUGACUGACGCUGAGACGCGAAAGCGUGGGGAGCAAACAGGAUUAGAUACCCUGGUAGUCCACGCCGUAAACGAUGAGCACUAGGUGUCGCGGGUAUUGACCCCUGCGGUGCCGACGCUAACGCAUUAAGUGCUCCGCCUGGGGAAUACGGCCGCAAGGUUUAAACUCAAAG